rnacentral:rRNA from 1 species
UGGGGAAUAUUGCGCAAUGGGCGAAAGCCUGACGCAGCAACGCCGCGUGCGGGACGACGGCCUUCGGGUUGUAAACCGCUUUCAGCAGGGACGAAACUGACGGUACCUGCAGAAGAAGCACCGGCUAACUACGUGCCAGCAGCCGCGGUGAUACGUAGGGUGCGAGCGUUGUCCGGAAUUAUUGGGCGUAAAGAGCUCGUAGGCGGUCUGUCGCGUCGGAAGUGAAAACUCGGGGCUCAACCCCGAGCCUGCUUUCGAUACGGGCAGACUUGAGGAAUGUAGGGGAGAACGGAAUUCCUGGUGGAGCGGUGGAAUGCGCAGAUAUCAGGAGGAACACCAGUGGCGAAAGGCGGUUCUCUGGGACAUUAACUGACGCUGAGGAGCGAAAGCGUGGGGAGCAAACAGGCUUAGAUACCCUGGUAGUCACGCCGUAAACGGUGGGCACUAGGUGUGGGGGACAUUCCACGUUCUCCGUGCCGAAGCUAACGCAUUAAGUGCCCGCCU